rnacentral:piRNA from 3 species
CGCAUCGACCUGGUAUUGCAGUACUUCC